AGAGAGAGAGAAAAUAUGUCAUCGUAUUGUUUUCUUUUUCUUUUUCAAAACAAACAUAUCAAAUCAAAGAAAACCCAAUGUAUUCACCAUACAUGUAUACGUUUAUAUAUGUAUUUGCUAACUGUUAUUUACAUUUUCCUCGUAAAUAAAUAUAACCUUUUAAUCGAAUAGCGAAUUAAUGAAUACGCAUUUAUAAUUUAAUUGUAAAUAUACAACUAAAAAUGGUGUGUGUGCGCGCGCGCGUGAUCGUAAAAAUGCGCGUGACGCGAUAGAUAGGUUGGCACGCACCCAAAGAUAGCACACAAUUCAUUUUCAAAAUAUAGAUAGCCUACCAAAUAUCAUUCAUUUAGAAUAGAAGAGUAAAACAAAAAAAAAAAAAGCAUAAUAUUUACGAGUGCACAUAACAACGUAACGUCACAAGGCUGCGAUCGUUUAUCUCUCUCAUACGUUGUUAUUAUUUCAUGUCUAUUCGAUUAUUCUUUCGUCCAUCUCUCUCGCUCUUUCUUCUAUCUUCCUCAACCUUUCCCCGCAGCGCCCGUUCGAAUAGCUCUUUCAUUUGAAAACUUUGUGUUCCUUUCGCAUAUUUCUUUGCAUUCCUUUUGACAAUUCUUCAUAUUCUUCUUAGAUAUUAUCGUGAUAACAACAGUCGAAAGUAUUUCGACAUCGGUCAUAGACAAAAGUAUGAGCUUAGUUCGAUCAUCGGAUGGUGAUGGCAUUCGGCCAUGUUUUGUUCGAUAAAGGAUGGAAAACGAACUGGUAAGAGCAAGAAUGAACCAUUUUCGUGGAGGGAAUCUGUACAAGCAGUAAAACUAGUAAGUACAAGAUUUUUUUGAAAAAGUCAAAUUUGAAUAAUCAUUAUGAAUUGAUCUUUAAUCGAUUAUAUAAAAAAUGAAAAAAAAAAGGAAUUAAGCGUGGAUUUUUUUCGACGGGAAAAAAUGACAAGGUGUAUAAUAAAAAAAGUUGAUCAUACAUGUUGUGUGUAGGUACGGCCUUUUUACUUCACACAACCAGGAAUUUCUUUCGAACACAUAUUAUUUUCAACACAAAUCAAAUGAAUUUCAAUGGCAGCCAAUAGCACAAAGA